GAGUGAGUGUCCAGGGUGCGAGGGGUCUUUGAUGAUGAUGCUGGCUUUCUGCUGAAGUCUGCCAGUAUAGAUGUCUCUGAGGGGGGUUAGUGAAGUGCCGUGAACUUGUGUAGUAAUGUAAUUGUAAAGACGACUACACCAGUCAUAGUAAUUGAUGGGUUAUUUGUUAAAAUUAGUUUUUCUAAUGCCGGUUCAUUAUGCAUGUUAUGUUCACGUUUUACAAGCUUUACACAGACGAAAAUGUCUAACACUACCUCCCCCCUGGCUGCCCUCAAGUGGCUCUGUCCAUUAUCUCACUGUUUGAAUCGAAUCGAAGGAUACGAGGGAGCAGGUUCGGACUGGAUUCUGUUAAGCUGCCAACAUAGAUGAGGUCUUGCUCCACACCCUCAGUAGGGACGAUUUAAGGGACCUGCUUCCAGGGCCUGAAAAUUUUAUGAGGAGGAAACAGUUGUAGGCUCAAGUUCACAAAGAGG